rnacentral:misc_RNA from 1 species
UAAUAAGUGUUUUAUGCACUUUUUAAAUCCAUAUCCACCUUGUGUGCAAUGUCAGUCGAUCUUCUUCAUGGAGAUCGACCAAACAUCAACCUUUAUCUUUUAACUCUUUGUCUGAAGAAUAUUAUGAAUAAACAAUUCAAAAUA